CCACACAUAUUGGGAAGGCCGAUGUGGCCGUGCGGUUAUAGGCGCUUCAGUCUGGAACCGCGUGACUGCUACGGUCGCACGUUGGAAUCCUGCCUCGGGCAUGGAUGUGUGUGAUGUCCUUACGUUAGUUAGGAUUAAGUAGUUCUAAGUUCUAGGGGACUGAUGACCACAGAUGUUAAGUCCCAAAGUGCUCAGAGAGCCACACACAUAACAGGCCGACUAUAAAUUAGUAUAAUAAUUUAUGUUGUAUUACAUUUUCCAAAAAUAGGUAGUUCACUCCACUGGCAAUACUUUAAACAGAAAUUUUCGUUGCUAAGAGCACAUUUUUGAUAUGACUGUCUGUCGUCUCUGUGAAAAUCGCCUCUGUUUUUUUUCUUUCAUAACUAUGUUUAACAAUGAGAAUUCUUGGUCUACCAUCAAAGACACACGUUCAUAAAAAUAGAUACCGGUAGGUGGUAGGGCCAUGGUUUUAUAUACCUUGAAAAAAUAUGUACAUGAUUAUCUAAGUGGGAAUCGUUGAUCAUUUUUAUUAACGUCUUUUGAGAUAUGAGUUUUUAGCCAGAGUGGUAUCCCUUCACCCAUAUAAAUAUGCUAAGCAGGAGUGCAAAGUAGGUAUGUAACACCAUUUAAAUACUAUUGGGAUUUUUAAGUUCCUUGCAACAUAGCAGCAGGCUACAGACAUUGUUUUCUGUUUAACAGUUCUGUGUGUUUCUCCCAUCUUGAAUGUACAUCCAGCCAUACUUCUAAAAAUUUAGUGUUUGGUGUUUGCACCCUGUUACCCUGCCAAACUUCCACUGUUAAGCUGUUUCCUAGCUUUUUUUUACUUGGCUGAAGUUCAUCUCAGUGUUUUUGUCAUUCAUAAUUAGUCUGUCGCAAUGAAAAAUUAUGCUAAACUAUUUAAGCUCUUGUACAAAGCCAUUUUUCAGAAGUAGAAAAAACAUCCAUACUCACCUCUUGCAUCCAGAAACAGUGUCCAUGUCUGUGUGUUCCAUUUCGGAAGAAGUGUAAAUAAUGUUUAGUAUUGUUUUACUCUGUGCACUUUUGCAAGUCAACGCCUCAUAUAGGUGCUGAGUAACGAGCUAUCCUUCCCUUAUUAUUGUUUUCCAUCCUAGACGUUCCAGUGUUUGAUUUUUCUUGUAGGUCAGCACUGUUCAUUCCUUUAACAGGCUGGUGUCAUAGGCAAACAAUAUUGUGUCUGCUGCUCAUGUAUGAUUUGGUUACGUUAUUUAUAAAUAUUAAGAAUAGCAGUGGUCCCAGUACAGAGCCCUGUGGCAUGCCAUACAUGACUCUCUCAUAUAAUGUGCCUAAUGUAUCAGUUAUGUUGUUACUCUACCCUUUUUAUUUCUAUCAUAGAGAUAGGGUUUCAACCAAACACAUGCUACUUCACAACUCCCAUAGCAGUAUGGUUUCCUUGGCAGUAAAUUAUCAUCAGUGAUGUCAAAUGCCUGAGACAUUCAAAAACGGACCACAAUUUAACUCAUUUUUAUCUAUGGAAUUUAGGACACAUUUUAAAAACUUAUAAAUCCUUAUCCCAGUUGAUCUGUUUUUCCUAAUACCUUUUUAUCCAUUAAUCACCUUACAGUUUUUGUUUAGCAAAUGAGUCUCUUCCAUUGGCAUUUCUUUUAUCAUAGUUUUGAAAACCCAGAUCUCAGUGAGCUACAUUUGCAAUUACUAAUAUCAGACUGCACCUUUCUUGUAAAGAGGCUUGACAAUUGAUUUUUUUAGUUUUUUUUGGAACUCCUAUCCCAAAUAUUAACUACAAAUUGGAAGUCUGUUCCUUGCACUGUAUUUUAUUACCUUGUCUAGAAACUAAUCACUGCCACACAAUCAUUUAUAUUUUAAUGUAUUUAUGAUGUUUCAAACCUCUAAUUCAGUUGCAAAAGAUGGAAUUACAGCCUCAUCUUUCAAGGGGAGUCAUAUGCUGAUAUUCAAUUACAUUUAGUUUGAAUUAUAAUUAUUGUUAUGUUUAUGUAAUGGUUGUUGAAUAUGUUGGCUUUUGUGUUGUAGAUCUUUAAGAGUUUCAUCUUCACUCUGUAAUGAAGUAGUAGUUCUUUCUGUUUUGUCUGCAUACAUUCUUUCACAUUUACCAUCUCUUACAUUGAUUUUAUAUUCUUAAUAUUUUCCUAGCUGCUACUAUAACUUUCUUAUGUAGUUCCCUGUAAAUUUUCACAUGUGAUUUCAGUGCUUCUGUUACUUAUGGCAGAUUAGUUUAACUUGAUGAGUGUGUUUGCUGACUUUCAUAGUGCCUAGGUUACUAACAUGUUUGCUUUAAUUGGGAUUUUAAUUCAUUUAAUUGGAAAUGAAACAUCAUAACAGUGCCUACCCUUGCAAGAAAUUACCUAAUUUUAUCUACUUUUUUCUAAACAUCUGAAUAAAAAUUCAUAUGCCAAGUUUAUUAAUAAAACUCGUCUCUGUAUUUAUCACUGACCACUGGAUCAUUAUUAGAUAUAGUAUUUAACAUCAGUAUGACUGCUCCAUCCUCAAAGGACGUGGUGUCCAUUACUUAAGUAGUAUGUUCAAAAUGGUAGUGUAUUGUUUACAAAUGUUUGGUCAGCUGCUGUUUUAGACCCAUUUAUACACCAAUUGCCUUAAUGUGCAGUUGAUGUCAUAUUGCAAGAAAAACAGAUUUGUGUUUCAAAAUAUAUUUCUCAGAUGAUGUAUGUAUAAGGUCAAAUUUUUGCUCAUACUUUCACUGAUAAAAGCUUUAAGAUGUUGGCUGAGCUGAGUAAAACAGCUUUUGACCUAUGUACACUGCCAGUAGUAACUUAGCGGUUGUGAGACAUGAAAAUUAAAUGAGUUUAUUGUUAGAAGACUAACAGUAAGCGAAAGAUGAUGGAAAAAAUCAAAGUUGGACAACACAAAGAAAGACAGAAAGAAAGCAGCUGAUAUCAGAUGUACAACAAAGGUCAGUGCCAUAACGGAAAGAGCCGAACAUCUCGAAAUGGCAGUGGGCUGGUCACAUUGCUCAAAGAAAAGAUGGUAGAUGUUCAAAAUGUGUACAAGACUGGGGCCCAAAAUGGACUAAAGGGAAGACUACCAGACAGAUGGAUCCAUUUUGCAACUUGAAGCUGAAGAUCAGCAGAAAUCCAUGGCCGGUGCGUCCUUCGCUAACUUUGUGCCACCUCCGCACUUGCACAAGCCGUUGGCUCCCAUCUGCUGUCCGCGUUUUGUACCUCCUGAAUGCUGCCCGUCUUAUUGCCCAGAGGAGUAUAAACCUGUCUGUGCCACUGACUGCCACCAUCUGCGGACUUUUGCCAACAUUUGUUUCAUGCAUGCUACAAACUGCCUGGAAAAUACAAGAUACCGCAAAGUCUAUGAUGGAAAAUGCCCAAACAGCCACCCAAUGCUCCAGUUCCAUGAUAAAGAAAUUGAGUGGAUGUAAAAAUGAAACUUGUACAAUUU